rnacentral:rRNA from 1 species
UACGGAGGGAGCGAGCGUUGUCCGAAGUUACUGGGCGUAAAGCGCGCGUAGGCGGGGAAUUAAGUGAGAAGUGAAAGGCUGGGGCUCAACCUCAUGCAGUGCUUCUCAUACUGGUUCUCUUGAGGGCGGUAGGGAGAAGUGGAAUGGCUGGUGUAGCGGUGAAAUGCAUAGAUAUCAGGAGGAACACCAGCGGCGAAGGCGGCACUCUGGGCUGGUGACUGACGCUGAGGAGCGAAAGCGUGGGGAGCGAACAGG